rnacentral:rRNA from 1 species
AUUGAACGCUGGCGGCAGGCCUAACACAUGCAAGUCGAACGAGGGGCGGACGGGUGAGUAAUGUCUGGGAAACUGCCCGAUGGAGGGGGAUAACUACUGGAAACGGUGGCUAAUACCGCAUACCAUCGGAUGUGCCCAGAUGGGAUUAGCUAGUAGGUGGGGUAAUGGCUCACCUAGGCGACGAUCCCUAGCUGGUCUGAGAGGAUGACCAGCCACACUGGAACUGAGACACGUCCCAGACUCCUACGGGAGGCAGCAGUGGGGAAUAUUGCACAAUGGGCGCAAGCCUGAUGCAGCCAUGCCGCGUGUAUGAAGAAGGCCUUAGGGUUGUAAAGUACUUUCAGCGAGGAGGCGUUACCCGCAGAAGAAGCACCGGCUAACUCCGUGCCAGCAGCCGCGGUAAUUC